UCCGGGGUGGCGCAAUGGCUUAGCGCAUUGGACUUUUAUGAAGACAAAAUCAUGAUCAUCCAAGGGUUCGGGGUUCGAGUCCCCGCUUCGGAG